rnacentral:rRNA from 1 species
GACGUAGGGCGCGAGCGUUGUCCGGAUUUAUUGGGCGUAAAGAGCUCGUAGGCGGCUUGUCGCGUCGUCCGUGAAAACUUGGGGCUCAACCCCAAGCUUGCGGUCGAUACGGGCAGGCUCGAGUUCGGUAGGGGAGACUGGAAUUCCUGGUGUAGCGGUGAAAUGCGUAGAUAUCGAGAGGAACACCUGCGGCGAAGGCGGCUCUCUGGGACGGUACUGGCGCUGAGACGCGAAAGCGUGGGGAGCGAACAGG